rnacentral:lncRNA from 1 species
UUCAAGACUAAGUGCUGACGCUGGAGGAAUGUGCAGAGCUCUCUGCUCAUACCUGCCUGCAAACAAGGGAAGGAGCAGCCCAGAGCCCUUGUGAAGUCCUCAGGGAAGCCCUCUGACCUGCUGGUGGUCAUGGACAGCUGCAGAACAUGUUACAUGCCUGCACCCGUGUGUCCUAUGGUAGCCAGAAGUUGUUGCAUGAGAGGAGAAAUGCAGCCCAUCACUGCUUAAACUCAUGCUGGUGAACCAGAAGUCCAUAGACAAACAUCCUUAAGAGCCCCAAGAGACUUGCUGGUUUCUCACACUUUGAAGAAUAAGAUGAAUUGCUGGCUUACCUGAGGAAGCUCAGAGGAAGACUAUCUCCAGAAAACAGCAAUAAAAUACCAGAUAGAAAAUGUAGUUGCCUUUCUCUUUUUAUUUUUUGGCAUUGUGAGUAAAGCUCUUUCCUCUUUGCUUCAAAGAGCUGAAGAGUAAAGUAGUGUUUGAUUUGAUUCUUCUGCUCCUCUUUUCUAAAUCAGAAUGACACCUGUGUUGCCUUCCAUACCAACAGUCAAUUUAUCAUUAAAUACGUCAACUGCCGAAUACAAUUCAAAUAUUGGUUGAAGAAAACAAAAGCUCUUUAAAGAGAAACUGGAUUUUCAAAGGUAACUGCUGUAAGGCUGCAUUCCUUCUAAGGGUAGAAUCUAAGCUGCUGCUGACACAUCAGAUUAGAAAAAUAAUCAGCUGCAUCUUCAAAGAACAUUCUCGUCUUCUGCAUUUAAUUCUUUUGGGCCUACAUGUAAAUAAAG